AGACCAAAAGAAUCUUGUGGCACUCACGAGGCUUAUUCAUUUAUACUAGAAAGUAAAUUAAAAAAAAAAAUUCUUAAUUAAUCAAUUUCGGUGCUGCACGUACAUAGUCGGUGCCUGAAACCUCCGUGCUACGAAGCUUCCUCUUACGUCCUUUUGGGGUAUUAAGAGCAUCAUUAUCGCGGUUGCUAAUCAAGGUUGCUUAUGUUAGUUGUGAUUAAAAAUAAAGGGAAAUUACCUUUUAAUAGAAACAACGUUGCUUAAUCAAGCAAUGGAAAAGACGACGCUUAAGGGACACGCGUCCUUCUCUCUCUUAUCUCUCCUCUGUUCUUCUUCGCUGGUGUGAAUCAUCUCCGGUAUCAUCAAUCUUCAAUUUCGUUUUACUUUCUCUUCUGCAGUGAUUAAUUCUCAGAUUUUGGAUGAUGAAAUCUAACAAAAGAUCUAUAGCUUCAGCUUCCCACUCCGGUCAGAUUCAGCAAGGUGGAGCUUGUAAUGCCCGACGGAUAUCCAGAAGAUGGCCUCGUAUGUUUUCAACAACAGCUACUUGAAGAACGGACUCGCUGACGAGGCUUGUAGCUUCAACAACAACACUGCUCUCACUUCCAUAAAUUCCAGUAAGUAAAGGUCUUUUUUUGUUUAAAAAUUGAUACUUUUUUUUUGAAUUGAAUGUAAAAUUUAUUCAGAACAAAAAAAAACUUUGUUUGUGUUUACAACUUGUAUUUAAUCUCUAUUUUCUAGUUGAGUACUAAAACAAGAGAUCUUUUAUGUUGAGAACCAGAGAAGCCAGUAGCUUAAGCUGUUACAGCGAACCAACUUUGUAGCCCUUUGUCAUAUCUUCCAUUCUUCAGCGUCUGCAGAGAUAGGAGACGGAUCGACAACUGGAAAACAUACUUAGUGAUGAAGUUCGUGAGAUGAUCACGAGUAGAGUCUGAGAUUAUCUCCAUGAUUCCAUUUCACUCAGCUGUGAAAUAUGUGCCUAGAAGUCCUCGGGUAAGUGAUGUCCAAAUUUGCAGAGAGUAGGGGCAUGAAUAGAACAAAUGGUCUCGUGUCUCAACUGGAUCUUGGCAGAAGCUGCAACCCAUGUUGAUACCAGAACUCCACUUGGCCAUUCUUUCUCCUGUUGAAAGCCGGUUAUGAACUGCAAGCCAUGCGCAGAAUGCAUAGCGAGGAGUUGCGUGGGCAAACCAAAUACUUCUAUGCCAAGUUACCUCAGGGUGAGGGGACCGUAGAUAGUUCCAAGUUUCUUUUGUCCGAAAUCUUGACUUAAAAAUUGAUACUUUGGAAUCAUCAUUCAGUGUGUGUGUGUGUGUUUUCAGGUCAAGGAACUUGUAGAUACCAUCCAAGUAAGAGAGUGAGCAAUGGUCGAGUCGCGGAUAUACUUUGUAUUCUUGCAUCACGGGUCUUUUGUCAACUUGUGUAGUGUUUUGUAAUCUUGUGUAGUGUCACGGAUAAACAAUGUUAAAUUUUUUUUUUCUUAAGCACCCUUAAAUAAACAACUACCAUUGAAGAACA